UACGAAGGGGGCUAGCGUUGUUCGGAAUUACUGGGCGUAAAGCGCGUGUAGGCGGGUCUUUAAGGCUGGGGUGAAAUCCCAAGGCUCAACCUUGGAACUGCCUUUGAUACUGGGAAUCUUGAGUCCGGGAGAGGUGAGUGGAACUGCGAGUGUAGAGGUGAAAUUCGUAGAUAUUCGCAAGAACACCAGUGGCGAAGGCGGCUCACUGGCCCGGAACUGACGCUGAGGCGCGAAAGCGUGGGGAGCAAACAGG
rnacentral:rRNA from 1 species